rnacentral:rRNA from 1 species
AUACGGAGGAUCCGAGCGUUAUCCGGAUUUAUUGGGUUUAAAGGGUGCGCAGGCGGCCAUUUAAGUCAGCGGUUAAAUCGUGGGGCUCAACCCCAUUCUGCCGUUGAUACUGGGUGGCUUGAUUGCGGUCGAGGUUGGCGGAAUUCGUUGUGUAGCGGUGAAAUGCAUAGAUAUGACGAAGAACACCGAUUGCGUAGGCAGCUGACCAGACCGCAAAUGACGCUCAUGCACGAAAGUGCGGGGAUCGAACAGGAUUAGAUACCCUGGUAGUCCGCACAGUAAACGAUGAAUGCUUGUUUUCGGCGAUAUAAUGUCGGAGGCAAAGCGAAAGCGAUAAGUAUUCCGCCUGGGGAGUACGCCGGCAACGGUGAAACUCAAAUGAAUUGGCGGGG